UCGCCUUCCCUUCCCGCCUUUC
rnacentral:miRNA from 1 species